rnacentral:rRNA from 1 species
CCCUUAGAUGUUCUGGGCUGCACGCGCGCUACACUGAUGCAUUCAACGAGUUUAUAACCUUGGUUGAAAAGCCUGGGUAAUCUUUUGAACUUUCGUCGUGAUGGGGCUAGACCCUUGCAAUUAUUGGUCUCCAACGAGGAAUUCCUAGUAAACGCAAGUCAUCAGCUUGCAUUGAUUACGUCCCUGCCCUUUGUACACACCGCCCGUCGCACCUACCGAUUGAAUGGUCCGGUGAAAUCUUCGGAUUGAGACUUUGAUUUCUUCACGGAAAACGCUGUUUUAAAAAGUUGAUUAAACCUUACCAUUUAGAGGAAGGUGAAGUCGUAACA